rnacentral:rRNA from 1 species
AGCGGGGGAUCGCAAGACCUCGCGCGAUUGGAGCGGCCGAUAUCAGAUUAGGUAGUUGGUGGGGUAAAGGCUCACCAAGCCGACGAUCUGUAGCUGGUCUGAGAGGACGACCAGCCACACUGGAACUGAGACACGGUCCAGACUCCUACGGGAGGCAGCAGUGGGGAAUUUUGGACAAUGGGCGCAAGCCUGAUCCAGCAAUGCCGCGUGCAGGAUGAAGGCCUUCGGGUUGUAAACUGCUUUUGUACGGAGCGAAACGAUUUCCACUAAUACUGGGGAUUAAUGACGGUACCGUAAGAAUAAGCACCGGCUAACUACGUGCCAGCAGCCGCGGUAAUACGUAGGGUGCGAGCGUUAAUCGGAAUUACUGGGCGUAAAGCGUGCGCAGGCGGUUUUGUAAGACAGAUGUGAAAUCCCCGGGCUCAACCUGGGACCUGCAUUUGUGACUGCAAAGCUGGAGUACGGCAGAGGGGGAUGGAAUUCCGCGUGUAGCAGUGAAAUGCGUUGAUAUGCGGAGGAACACCGAUGGCGAAGGCAAUCCCCUGGGCCUGUACUGACGCUCAUGCACGAAAGCGUGGGGAGCAAACAGGAUUAGAUACCCUGGUAGUCCACGCCCUAAACGAUGUCAACUGGUUGUUGGGUCUUCACUGACUCAGUAACGAAGCUAACGCGU